rnacentral:snRNA from 1 species
GGAUGUAAGGGCGAGCUGGCUGUGACAUCUGUCACUACAUUGAUUCCCAGGGUUGAUUCAGCGGAUCUGACUGGCUAGGCCAGUGUCCCCUUCCUCAGUGCUCCAUGUGCAUCCCUCCUAACUCUUCACACUUGGUCAACCCUGAAAAAGGAGGACUGUUGCUCGGUCAAGGGUAUAUGAAUAGCUGUGCUCCCCUUCUAGACCCUCUGUGUACAUAGGAAGUGAUGAAAACGGUUUGAGUGAAUGAAUUCUGCAAGAAGCCUUACCUGAUUUGGCCAGAAUC